rnacentral:rRNA from 1 species
AACUCUCAGCAACGGAUAUCUUGGCUCUUGCAACGAUGAAGAACGCAGCGAAAUGCGAUACGUAGUGUGAAUUGCAGAAUUCCGUGAAUCAUCGAGUUUUGAACGCAAGUGCGCCC